ACCAGCAGCUGUAUCAUCCCAGCAACCCACAACUGGCAAUCCACUGAAGCUAAGCAGAUGUGAGCCUGGUCAGUACCUGGAUGUGAGACCUCCUGGGAAAGCUAAGGUUGCUGCUGGGA
rnacentral:rRNA from 1 species